CCUACGGGAGGCAGCAGUGGGGAAUAUUGGACAAUGGGCGAAAGCCUGAUCCAGCAAUGCCGCGUGAGUGAUGAAGGCCUUCGAGUCGUAAAGCUCUUUUACCAGGGAUGAUAAUGACAGUACCUGGAGAAUAAGCUCCGGCUAACUCCGUGCCAGCAGCCGCGGUAAUACGGAGGGAGCUAGCGUUGUUCGGAAUUACUGGGCGUAAAGAGUACGUAGGCGGUUAUUCAAGUCAGAGGUGAAAGCCCGGGGCUCAAACCCCGGAACCGGUACGUCGUACGUAAA
rnacentral:rRNA from 1 species